UUACUCAUUUAAGCAACAAACGUUUAUCCAACCCCAAGCCUAUGUGGAGAUUCAAGUCCAAAGAGGGAAUGGAAGCUAAUAUUCUUCCUUAACCUCUCUCCGAGCCCCAGCUCCCUCCUCUCGGAAAAGAAGGGCUUCAUGUAGUUGGUCUCGAAGGCUCCCAUGAACUUCACUCGGAGGCAUCGACUACGUCACAACCAGAUACCUCGAUGUCACGCAGGACACCGAGUCGUCAAGGCCACAUAACGCUGAAGUCACUGGAGCCCUUUGGACAGCGAGUGGGAGCUGUAGCCUUGCCUCGGACCCCAACAGCCCCUCCCCUCUCGCCCCCUGCCUCAUCCCCAGCAAUGUAGAGACUCUCCCCGCGGGACCCGGGACUCUGGAUGGAAUGUGCCAUUUGCCUAGAAAGGGGAAGACUCGGAUCUCUUCUCUCCCACUCUCCCCCUCUCCCCACCCCCGCCCCCGCCUCCUGCUGUAGCUAGUGAAGCUUUCCGUUGCCAUGGUUCCGCCUACAACAAACUGAGGCCGCGGGGCAACUUGCUAGCGUGGGCCAGGUAAGUGUCUCGCGCCGCCGCUCAGGGCUCCUCCGCUGGCUUCGCGGGCGGGGGCCUCUGCAUAACUGUCCUUUCUUUGACUGGAGUCGUGGACCCGGCCAGCACAGGUGGCCUUCAGCUUGACUCGUCUCGGAAGGAUCUCCAGGUGCUGACUUGUCUGUGCAGUUUAUUUCUGCCUUACCAACACAGAAGGUGCUGGAUUAUUCCCAGAGGAACAGAUGGCUAAUUUCCGUUUUCAGAAACAAGAUGAUUUAACAGAAACCAUUUCGAAUCUGGAAGAAUUCAGAAGAGAAGGAUAUGGAGACUUACCGGGUGAGAAGGAAAGAGAGAAAAUGAUUCUCAAGAGGCAUGGCCGUUCAUUUGACUAUGAAUGUAUACUCAGGAAAAAGAGGAUGGCAAUGAACAGGAAGAAGAAACUCACGUACAAGGACAGAGUCCGCACAUUAUACCUUCGAAGAAACAUGAACAAUCUGGAUAGGAUAAACGAGGAAAAGAAAUUUUUCCUUUUGAAAACCAAGUAAGUAAAUUUUAGUGAAGAAAACUUCAGUAACACACUGGACCUUUGGUCUGAGAAAGGCAGCCCAGAUCCCUCGGAGGGUCUCUCCCACUUGCCAUGCUCAGCAGCUACUACUCUGCCAGCAACAGCCAGUGUGCAGGGAUGAGGGAAUCUUGAAGAGGUUACUGCCAAGGUUCUCUCUGGUGGGGGCUCAGUUAUUAACUCACCGGGAAUCAUGAGCUCCUGCUGUGACAAAGACAUCUGAGAAGGGGGGACGCCUUUUGGGGGAGGUAAGGCGAAUUCUUAGAAUUGUGGAUCUGAUCUCUCUUAGAGAUCUUGUUUUUUUGUGUUGAGUAUAGGCUCAACACAAAUAAUUUCUUCCUUUCUUCUUUCCCUCCUUUCUUCCUUCCUUGAGUCCUUCCUUCCCUCCUUCCCUUGUUCUUUCUCUCCUCUCCUUCCUUUCCCUCCCUCCUUCCCUCUUUCCUUCCUUCCCUCCUUCCUUCUUUCCUUGAUUCCUUGAUUCCUUCCCUCCUUCCUUCUCUCCUCUCCUUCCUUUCCCUCCCUCCUUCCCUCUUUCCUUCCUUCCCUCCUUCCUUCUUUCCUUGAUUCCUUGAUUCCUUGAUUCCUUCCCUCCUUCCUUCUCUCCUCUCCUUCCUUUCCCUCCCUCCUUCCUUCUUUCCGUCCUUCCCUCCUUCCUUGCUUACUUGCUUGCUUCCCUCCCUCCCUCCUUCCCUUUUUCCUUCCUUCCUUCUUUUCUUCCUUCCUCCCUCCCUCCCUCCCUCUUUCCUUCCUUCCUUCCUCCCUCCCUCCCUCCCUUCCUCCCUUCCUUCCCUUCCUCCUUCCCUUUUCCCUUCCUUCCUUCUUUUCUUCCUUCCAUCCUUCUUUCCCUCCUUCCUUCCUUUCCUCCUUCCCUUAUUUCUUUCCCUCCUUCCCUUCAUCUCAUGGCUCCAUUAUAAUUCCUUCUUCUCUCCUCACACUACUCCCUCCCAUUCACUUACACCUUUUUCUUUUAUCCAUUCCUCAAA
ensembl:lncRNA